AGAGUUUGAUCCUGGCUCAGGAUGAACGCUGGCGGUGUGGAUAAGGCAUGCAAGUCGAACGAACCUGUUAACUUCAAAGUUGCGAUUACAUCAAGGCCAAGAAAUUAUUUUGGUUAGUGGCGAACGGGGUAGUAACGCGUGGGAACUCACCUAGAAGUCGGGAAUAACUAGUCGAAAGAUUGGCUAAUACUCGAUAGUCCCUUCGGGGUAAAGAUUUAUCGCUUCUAGAGAGGCCUGCGUAGUAUCAGGUAGUUGGUAGGGUAAUGGCCUACCAAGCCUAUGACGCUUAGGGGCGCUGAGAGGCGGACCCCCACCAUUGGAACUGCGACACGGUCCAAACUCCUACGGGAGGCUGCAGUCGAGAAUCUUCCGCAAUGCGCGAAAGCGUGACGGAGCGACACCGCGUGAUGGAUGACACCCUUCGGGGCGUAAACAUCUUUUAUAAAGGAGGAAAUUAUUGACGUUACUUUAUGAAUAAGGGGCUCCCAAUCUCGUGCCAGCAGGAGCGGUAAUACGAGAGCCCCAAGCGUUAUCCGGAAUCAUUGGGCGUAAAGGGUGCGUAGGUGGCGUGAUUAGUCUCCCGUUAAAGACUCGAGCUUAACUCGAGGAAAGCGGGGGAAACGGUCAUGCUAGAGUAUGUGAGGGGUGUGUGGAACUCAUGGUGUAGGGGGUGAAAUCCGUUGAUAUCAUGGGGAACACCAAAAGCGAAGGCAGCACACUGGCACAUUACUGACACUGAGGCACGAAACCCUGGGUAGCGAAUGGGAUUAGAUACCCCAGUAGUCCAGGGCCUAAACGAUGCAGAUUAGCUUUAGGGAGUAUCGACCCUCUCUGAGGCGUAGCAAACGCGUUAAAUCUGCCGCCUGGGAAGUACGGCCGCAAGGCUAAAACUCAAAGGAAUAGACGGGGACUCGCACAAGCAGUGGAUUAUGUGGUUUAAUUCGACGAUAAACGAAGAACCUCACCAAGACUAGAAAUCUACACGACGGAAUGCCGAAAGGUGUUCUUUCUUCGGACGGGUAGACAGGUGAUGCAUGGCCGUCGUCAGUUCGUGGUUUGAAUUGUUCCCUUAAGUGGGUCAACGAACGCAACCCUCAUCGUGUGUUACAAGUGUCACGCGAGACUGCCUAGCCCAAAGUUCAGGAGCAUUCUUUAGAAUGUUCGUGGAUUGUGGGCUGGGAGGAAGGAGAGGAUGACGCCAGGUCAGCAUGUCCCUUGACGUCUUGGGCAACACACAUAAUACAAUGGGUAGGACAACGGGCUGCGACGGGGUAACCCUGAGCCAAUCCUUCAAACCUAUCCUUAGUUCGGAUAGAGGUCUGAAACUCGACCUCUUGAAGCCGGAAUUGCUAGUAAUCGCGGAUCAGCUAAGCCGCGGUGAAUACGUUCUCGAGUCUUGUACACACCGCCCGUC
rnacentral:rRNA from 1 species